AGAAUCAACGCUGGCGGCGUGCCUAACACAUGCAAGUCGAACGCGGUUGCCCCGCAAGGGGUAACUGAGUGGCGAACGGGUGAGUAACACGUGGGUGACCUACCUUCGAGUGGGGGAUAACGUCCCGAAAGGGACGCUAAUACCGCAUAACAUCCUGCCUUUGAACAGGCGGUGAUCAAAGCCGGGGAUCGCAAGACCUGGCGUUUGAAGAGGGGCCCGCGUCCGAUUAGCUAGUUGGUGAGGUAAUGGCUCACCAAGGCGACGAUC
rnacentral:rRNA from 1 species